rnacentral:sRNA from 1 species
UUGAUCUGUCACGAUUCUUACACUAUCAAACUUUAUUUGUCUUCUGAAGGCGGCAAUGGACCAAAACUUCACCAAAGGGCGCAGAGCUGAACUUGUACAGUCUUCCUGUCUCUAUUUGGCUU